AUACCACAAUUUGUCACAUAUACCAAAAUUGGAACGAUACAGAGAAGAUUAGCAUGACCUCUGCACAAGGAUGAUACACAAAUUCGUGAAGGUUUCCUCCUGUUU